AUUGAACGCUGGCGGCAGGCCUAACACAUGCAAGUCGAGCGGCAGCGGGAAAGUAGCUUGCUACUUUUGCCGGCGAGCGGCGGACGGGUGAGUAAUGCCUGGGGAUCUGCCCAGUCGGGGGGGAUAACUACUGGAAACGGUAGCUAAUACCGCAUACGCCCUACGGGGGAAAGCAGGGGACCUUCGGGCCUUGCGCGAUUGGAUGAACCCAGGUGGGAUUAGCUAGUUGGUGAGGUAAUGGCUCACCAAGGCGACGAUCCCUAGCUGGUCUGAGAGGAUGAUCAGCCACACUGGAACUGAGACACGGUCCAGACUCCUACGGGAGGCAGCAGUGGGGAAUAUUGCACAAUGGGGGAAACCCUGAUGCAGCCAUGCCGCGUGUGUGAAGAAGGCCUUCGGGUUGUAAAGCACUUUCAGCGAGGAGGAAAGGUUGGUAGCUAAUAACAGCCAGCUGUGACGUUACUCGCAGAAGAAGCACCGGCUAACUCCGUGCCAGCAGCCGCGGUAACAC
rnacentral:rRNA from 1 species